rnacentral:rRNA from 1 species
CCUACGGGAGGCAGCAGUGGGGAAUUUUGGACAAUGGGCGCAAGCCUGAUCCAGCAAUGCCGCGUGAGUGAAGAAGGCCUUCGGGUUGUAAAGCUCUUUUGUCAGGGAAGAAACGGUGGGGGCUAAUAUCCCUCGCUAAUGACGGUACCUGAAGAAUAAGCACCGGCUAACUACGUGCCAGCAGCCGCGGUAAUACGUAGGGUGCAAGCGUUAAUCGGAAUUACUGGGCGUAAAGCGUGCGCAGGCGGUUUUGUAAGUCUGUCGUGAAAGCCCGGGCUCAACCUGGGAAUUGCGAUGGAGACUGCAAGGCUUGAAUCUGGCAGAGGGGGGUAGGAAUUCCACGUGUAGCAGUGAAAUGCGUAGAGAUGUGGAGGAACACCGAUGGCGAAGGCAGCCCCCUGGGUCAAGAUUGACGCUCAUGCACGAAAGCGUGGGGAGCAAACAGGAUUAGAUACCCUGGUAGUCCACGCCCUAAACGAUGUCUACUAGUUGUCGGGUUUUAAUUAACUUGGUAACGCAGCUAACGCGUGAAGUAGACCGCCUGGGGAGUACGGUCGCAAGAUUAAAACUACAAAGUAGUAGUAGGCGCGUGAGAGUCGACCGAGGACGACGACGGAGGGAGGAGG